GGACUACUGGGGUUUCUAAUCCUGUUUGCUCCCCUUGCUCUCGCGCCUCAGCGUCAGGUAUUAACUAGAAAACCGCUUUCGCCACAGGUGUUCUUCCACAUAUCUACGCAUUUCACCGCUACACGUGGAAUUCCGUUUUCUCCGUCAACCCUCUAGAAAAGUAGUUUCAAAUGCAGCUCCGAAGUUGAGCUUCGGAAUUUCACAUCUGACUUGCUCUUCAGCCUACGCGCCCUUUACGCCCAAUAAUUCCGAUUAAUGCUUGCACUCUCCGUAUUACCGCGGCUGCUGGCAC
rnacentral:rRNA from 1 species